GAAAGUAAAUAAGGGCGUAUGGGGAAUGCCUAGGCUCUUGGAGGCGAAGAAAGACGUGGUAAGCUGCGAAAAGCUCCGGGGAUUUGCAAACAAGAUUUGAUCCGGAGAUUUCUGAAUGGGACAACCCGUCAGGUAGAAGACCUGACACAUCGCAAGAUGGGCCAACCCUCUGAACUGAAACAUCUUAGUAGGAGGAGGAAAAGAAAGAAACAUCGAUUUCCUGAGUAGCGGCGAGCGAAAGGGAAAAAGCCUAAACCGGUAUUGUUACGGCAAUGCCGGGGUUGUAGGACUGCAACAUUCAAGUAACAAUGAACUGGAACGAUCUGGAAAGUUCGUCCAUAGAGGGUGAAAGGCCCGUACAGGUAAGUUCGUUAUGCGAUAGCAGUAUCCUGAGUAGGGCGGGACACGAGGAAUCCUGUCUGAAUCUGCCGGGACCACCCGGUAAGGCUAAAUACUCCCAAGAGACCGAUAGUGAACCAGUACCGUGAGGGAAAGGUGAAAAGAACCCCGAACAGGGGAGUGAAAUAGAACCUGAAACCAUACGCUUACAACCGGUCGGAGCAGUUUCGUGCUGUGACGGCGUGCCUAUUGAAUAAUGAGCCUACGAGUUACUAAUCACUGGCGAGGUUAAGUGCACGGAUGCACGGAGCCGAAGCGAAAGCGAGUCUGAACAGGGCGGCUAGUCAGUGGUUGUAGACGCGAAACCUUGCGAUCUACCCUUGAGCAGGUUGAAGGUUGGGUAAAACCAACUGGAGGACCGAACGAAUAAGCGUUGAAAAGCUUCUCGAUGACUUGAGGGUAGGGGUGAAAGGCUAAUCAAGCUGGGAAAUAGCUCGUACUCCCCGAAAUGCCUUUAGGGGCAGCGUUGUAAUUAAGAGUCUACUGGAGGUAGAGCUACUGAUUGGAUGCGGGGGCUUCACCGCCUACCAAAUCCUGACAAACUCCGAAUGCCAGUAGUAUGAUUUACAGCAGUGAGCGACCGGGUGCUAAUGUCCGGUUACGAGAGUGGAACAACACAGACCAGCAACUAAGGUCCCGAAGAGUAUACUAAGUUGAUCUAACGAUGUUUUGCUGCAGAGACAGCUAGGAUGUUAGCUUGGAAGCAGCUAUUCAUUCAAAGAGUGCGUAACAGCUCACUAGUCGAGCGGCAAAGCGUGGAUAAUAAACGGGCAUCAAGUAUACCACCGAAGUUCUGGGCACGAAAGUGCGGUAGGGGAGCAUUCCAUUGACGUCGAAGCCAUUCCGCGAGGAUAGGUGGAGUUUAUGGAAAAGCAAAUGUAGGCAUGAGUAACGAUAAUGCGGGAGAGUAACCCGCACACCGCAAGACCAAGGUUUCCUGAUCAACGCUAAUCGGAUCAGGGUUAGUCGGGUCCUAAGGGUAAGCCGAACGGUGAUCUCGAUGGACAAUCGGUUAAUAUUCCGAUACUAACAUAUACCUCGAUGGAGAGACGAAGGAACGUAAGUGACGCCGCCUGACGGAAUAGGUGGUUAAAGGGUGUAGGUAUAGGGACAGAUUAAGAGUUAGUCCUUACUGAAACCCGACAGUACGGAGCGGCUACGGCCAAUCUGAUAGUUCACCCAAGUCGACUUCCGAGAAAAUCUUCUAAGUUAUAGUAUAUGUUACCCGUACCGUAAACCGACACAGGUGGUCGAGGAGAGUAUCCUAAGGUGCUCGAGUGAAUCACGGUUAAGGAACUAGGCAAAUUAACCCCGUAACUUCGGGAAAAGGGGUCCCUACGCGAGUAGGGCGCAGCGAAGAGGUCCAGGCGACUGUUUAUCAAAAACACAGGGCUCUGCAAAUUCGAAAGAAGACGUAUAGGGCCUGACACCUGCCCGGUGCUGGAAGGUUAAGAGGGGAUGUCAUCGCAAGAGAAGCAUUGAAUCGAAGCCCCAGUAAACGGCGGCCGUAACUAUAACGGUCCUAAGGUAGCGAAAUUCCUUGUCGGGUAAGUUCCGACCUG
rnacentral:rRNA from 1 species